rnacentral:rRNA from 1 species
AUUGAACGCUGGCGGCAUGCUUUACACAUGCAAGUCGAACGGCAGCGCGGGCUUCGGCCUGGCGGCGAGUGGCGAACGGGUGAGUAAUACAUCGGAACGUGCCCAGUAGUGGGGGAUAGCUCGGCGAAAGCCGGAUUAAUACCGCAUAGGACCUGAGGGUGAAAGCGGGGGAUCUUCGGACCUCGCGCUAUUGGAGCGGCCGAUGGCAGAUUAGCUAGUUGGUGGGGUAAAGGCCUACCAAGGCGACGAUCUGUAGCUGGUCUGAGAGGACGACCAGCCACACUGGGACUGAGACACGGCCCAGACUCCUACGGGAGGCAGCAGUGGGGAAUUUUGGACAAUGGGCGAAAGCCUGAUCCAGCAAUGCCGCGUGUGUGAUGAAGGCCUUCGGGUUGUAAAGCACUUUUGGCGGGAACGAAAAGGACUGUGCCAAUACCACGGUUCGAUGACGGUACCCGCAGAAUAAGCACCGGCUAACUACGUG